ACCCUCAGGUCGGCUCGACCGCCUAUCGCAGUAGCAGUACAACUCUGUGACGUGCCUGGCAUAAUCCUACGUCAUGGCCUGUAUUUGCUCAGUUAUUUUUUGACUUCAUACCAUAGCCUGUCCUACGACUGCACAACUCCCUUGUGCCAAGAACCGGUCCUCGGCAAUCUGAUGUGGUCACUGCACUCAAAUAAAAAUGCCCCUUUAACUGAGGGGCAUAGAAAGCAAGACAGACAGACAUCACUGCCGCAGAAUUGUGAAGUGCAGACACAGGACAGGAAACGCUGGUUGUUGAUGCUCAUGACAGCUAAGCUAAAUUCACCUACAACUGCAAGAAAAGUGGAAGGACUCACUCCGUAAUCUUCUUCCUUGUCUAUAAAGACAACAAUCCCGCCUACCCUACUGGGGCUAAGGUGGAAUGCAACUGUAUGUGGAAAAACACUACAAAGUGCUGCGACUAGCUCCCACUGGACCGGCACCAUCUUUAAUGGCCUCACUCAUAUCCAUCCAAACCUCCAAACGCAG